rnacentral:rRNA from 1 species
CAGCAGCCACGGUAAUACGAAGGGGGCUAGCGUUGUUCGGAAUUACUGGGCGUAAAGGGCGCGUAGGCGGCCAUUCAAGUUAGAUGUGAAAGCCCUGGGCUCAACCUAGGAGUUGCAUUUGAUACUGUUCGGCUUGAGUUCGGGAGAGGUGAGUGGAAUUCCCAGUGUAGAGGUGAAAUUCGUAGAUAUUGGGAAGAACACCAGUGGCGAAGGCGGCUCACUGGACCGACACUGACGCUGAGGCACGAAAGCGUGGGGAGCAAACAGGAUUAGAUACCCCGGUAGUCCCUGUCUCUUAUAA